UAUGAAGUUAGCGGCGGACGGGUGAGUAACACGUGGGUAACCUGCCCAUAAGACUGGGAUAACUCCGGGAAACCGGGGCUAAUACCGGAUAACAUUUUGAACCGCAUGGUUCGAAAUUGAAAGGCGGCUUCGGCUGUCACUUAUGGAUGGACCCGCGUCGCAUUAGCUAGUUGGUGAGGUAACGGCUCACCAAGGCAACGAUGCGUAGCCGACCUGAGAGGGUGAUCGGCCACACUGGGACUGAGACACGGCCCACACUCCUACGGGAGGCAGCAGUAGGGAAUCUUCCGCAAUGGACGAAAGUCUGACGGAGCAACGCCGCGUGAGUGAUGAAGGCUUUCGGGUCGUAAAACUCUGUUGUUAGGGAAGAACAAGUGCUAGUUGAAUAAGCUGGCACCUUGACGGUACCUAACCAGAAAGCCACGGCUAACUACGUGCCAGCAGCCGCGGUAAUACGUAGGUGGCAAGCGUUAUCCGGAAUUAUUGGGCGUAAAGCGCGCGCAGGUGGUUUCUUAAGUCUGAUGUGAAAGCCCACGGCUCAACCGUGGAGGGUCAUUGGAAACUGGUAGACUUGAGUGCAGAAGAGGAAAGUGGAAUUCCAUGUGUAGCGGUGAAAUGCGUAGAGAUAUGGAGGACCACCAGUGGCGAGGCGACUUUCUGGUCUGUAACUGACACUGAGGCGCGAAAGCGUGGGGAGCAAACAGGAUUAGAUACCCUGGUAGUCCACGCCGUAAACGAUGAGUGCUAAGUGUUAGAGGGUUUCCGCCCUUUAGUGCUGAAGUUAACGCAUUAACCAUUCCCCCUGGGGAGUACGGCCGCAAGGCUGAAACUCAAAGGAAUUGCCGGGGGCCCGCCCAAGCGGUGGAGCAUGUGGUUUAAUUGGAAGCAACGCGAAGACCCUUCCCAGGUCUUGACUUCUUCUGCCACCCCUAGAGAUAGGGCUUCUCCUUCGGGAGCAGAGUGCCAGG
rnacentral:rRNA from 1 species